rnacentral:rRNA from 1 species
UACGUAGGCAGCGAGCGUUGUUCGGAGUUACUGGGCGUAAAGGGUGUGUAGGCGGUUCUUUAAGUUUGGUGUGAAAUCUCCCGGCUCAACCGGGAGGGUGCGCCGAAUACUGAGGGACUAGAGUAUGGGAUGGGAAAGUGGAAUUCCUGGUGUAGCGGUGAAAUGCGUAGAUAUCAGGAGGAACACCUGUGGUGUAGACGGCUUUCUGGACCAUAACUGACGCUGAGGCACGAAAGCUAGGGGAGCAAACAGG